rnacentral:miRNA from 1 species
GAGAGGCUAUAGGCAUCUAGCAUCUGAUGUAUUUUGCCCAGGUGUUUGCUUCAACAAUAUUGUGUGAGUAAAUUAGGUCAGCAACAGGAUCAUUUCAUUUGACCUUCCCCUCAUUUUAUUGCAAAUAAUUAGGUCAGUAUUUCCUAUCCAUCUACAACAUAUACAGAAAUGCAUUAUAUCUGUACGGAAUUCGGUUGUUUUGUUUCGGUAAAAUGCAAAAGCGGAAAUCUAGUUUCC